rnacentral:lncRNA from 1 species
AGUUCGACUCCUAAGGCGGCCCACUCACGACCCAGACUGUAGGGGACCCGGGCAGCACGCGCUAAGCUAAGAGACGUUGCAACACCCAAAGCUCAGAUAAGGAAAGGCCCGAAGCUCUGCCUGCUGGCCCAGCUCCUUCUAGCAGGAUGCCAGAAGCAGCAGGGGCCAGCGGGGACAGACCAGACUCAGCGGCAAGCAGUAUCAGCGGUAUCCCUUACCGCCUCCAGGUUGCAGCUGCCUCCUCCCACACCUGGGACGCUCAACAGCAUUCACCAUUUCCUGUCUUUUCGUGUCCUGGUGUCCUCCUGCCACUCCUGCAGUCAAUGAAUGCGACCUGGAGGCCAAGGACUGUGCUCUAGGAUCUGCUUUCAAAGAACACACAGGUACCUAAAAUGCGCAGGAAAAGAAACAGAUCUGAUAGUGGCAGAAUGCCUCACUCACAGAACAAACUCCUCGUUGGCCAAUCAAUACAAGCGCUCAAGUAACACCUUGGACCCACCUCCUCAAGACCCAGGAACAGAGGAAGCAACUUGAACCAGGCAAGGUAGAGCUCAAAUUACAGACUCUUGAUCUUUCCCGAUCCCAGAAUCCCGCUGUCGUCCAUGCAGGACAUUGAGCACCAGCAGGGAUUAAUGAAGGAAUCACACUGGCCAUGAAGGCAGUUACAGACCUUGGGGCUCGGUGGGAAACUCCUUUUGUAAGAUUUGUGGUAGCUCAAAAUGACCAUGGUUGUAAAAAAGUUAAGUAAAUGUGUUCUUUUCCCA